rnacentral:lncRNA from 1 species
ACCCUCCAGGUUCAGCGAUGUAAAAGAAAGUUCCUGUCUUCCAGGAGUGCCCAAGUGCCAUCGAACCGGGUCAGUGAGGACAGUAAGGAGUCCUGGAUGCUGGGUCUUACCCAUACAGGGGAGAGCAAGAAGACCCUCCAGAAGAGCUACUGAGUAUAUGGAUUCACCUUGUCUCCAGAAGAUCACAUUUCGGAAUUUCAGGAUCGUGACGUCGGCAUAGCCUGCAUUGUCUGCAUUAUGACUUCUCAGUAAUGAAACCGCACCGGACAAACUGCAGGCCAGAACUACCAUCCUCAGCUCUGCCCUCUUGCUACCAGUUUUGCGGAACCUGGGCAGCAAGAGAUAAGCCAAUAUAUCUGCCUGUGGAGCCUACAGUUAAAAAUAAUUAUAGAGAACAUGGUGAUGCUUCAGAAACUGUCAGGUGAUGCAACAUUUUCAGAUCAUACUUUAUUACGUUAUUCGGUUGUAG